AGGGCUUGAAAUAUAGAUGAAUAUGCUAGAGAUAGUAUAGACCUUCGGGACAUCUAAACAGGUGGUGCAUGGUUGUCGUCAGCUCGUGUCGUGAGAUGUUGGGUUAAGUCCCGCAACGAGCGCAACCCCUAUGGUUAGUUGCCAGCAUGUAAAGAUGGGAACUCUAGCCAGACUGCCGGUGAUAAAUCGGAGGAAGGUGGGGACGACGUCAAAUCAUCAUGCCCUUUAUGCCCUGGGCUACACACGUACUACAAUGGCUGUAACAGAGGGAAGCAAAAUAGUGAUAUGGAGCAAAACCCAAAAAGCAGUCACAGUUCGGAUUGAAGGCUGAAAUUCGCCUUCAUGAAGCCGGAAUUGCUAGUAAUGGCAGGUCAGCAUACUGCCGUGAAUACGUUCCCGGGCC
rnacentral:rRNA from 1 species